rnacentral:tRNA from 1 species
GGGGAUGUAGUUCAGUGAUAAAGUGCAUGCUUUGCAUGUAUGAGGCCCCGGGUUCGAUCCCCGGCAUCUCCA